UGAAACUCUGCAGUUUAGGAAACACUAGGGCC
rnacentral:piRNA from 2 species